GAGUGAUUGACUCUUUAAAGAGCAUUACGUUUACGCCAUUCUUUAGUGCAGAAAGAGAUGAAGAUUUUUGGGAAGAACGUAUAUCCAAGGCAGGUUGUACUUUUCGCUUGCGGGGUUUUAGUUUUGGCGACGACAACCUACGAUGUUCACAGAUCUAUAAAGAACAACCAAUCACCCCCCUCCGAGGAGCAGCUCCAAGCUCUUAACGACUAUAUCAACGCCGCCCGCCGCCCGCCGCCGUCGACUUAACUAUGGUAUGUUUAAUUACAAAAUUUGCAAUUCGCACCCUCAAACUGAUACCGCUGGAAUGAAGCCAAUCAUAUGGAUAUAGUAAUGCCACGUUGUCGUCUACAAAUCGAAUAUCGUCUCCCUCAAAUAAAUCAUACUCCUUCACCACCUAUUUAUCAAUUCAAUGUCUUAAUUUUUAUUUGAUUUUCGAAUUGUUUAGUAAUAAUCCACCAUUAUGUAAUUUACAAUCAUUGUUCUAAUUGAUCGUAUUCUGGCA